AAAAAGCCAUGAAAGCCAUCAAGCCUGGAACAACAAACUCAUGCUGGAGAAAACUGUGUCCAAAUGUGCAUGACUUCGCAGGAUUUAUGACAGAGUUAAUCAGGGGAAUAAUGGAAGAGGUUGUGAAUAUGGGCAAAAAGGUUCAGCUGCCUGAUGGGAGAUGCAAGAUUGUUGCAGAGACAGAAAUACGUUUCCAGGUGUGGACAGAGCAGGCUGAGGGAGACACUCAGAGUAAUGUGGGGUUAGUCUCUCUUUGUACCUUAUUUUAGGGUCCUUUUUUAUAUAGCUAUUGUGUUAUUUAGUGACUGGUUACUGAGCUAUGUGUGCAAUGAUUCUCUUACCACUAUAACUUUUUCUGCUUAAUGGUAUUACAGUAUUAAUGAUCGUGUUAAUAGAAGUGGCAUUGAGUCCUUUUAAUUUUUCAUUUUGGAUACAAGAUCAUCCAUCUAGUGUGAACCACUAGUUAAUUACAUUUGGUCUGAUGUUCUUGGCUGUCUCUAAGUACAUAAGUUUAGUAUGCUUAAGGAGAUGCAUAACUGGUAUUACUUGAUUAAGACUGCAUUUUCCAGGUAAUUUGUUUAAAUAAAUAGAAAGUUAUUUGAUUUCCUGCCUUUAUAAAAUUAAGGCUAAAUUUUAAAUUCUUGAAAACUGUAAGAAAAUUUGUGUUGUGUGUGUGUUUUAAGGCGCAGUUCUCUUAAUUUCUUAAUAAGUAGAUUUAUUGCAAUGUGAAAUAAAGAGUAUAUCUUGGUGGUAUCAAGACCUGUACCAAUAUUUUGUUUAUAAGGAUCCUUAUUCCUUACCCCUCUUGAGGGCAGAGUUGGAAGCCUUGCAUUUAUCCUCUUAGGAUUUUCCUUGGGACAAAAUUACCACAAAAAUCUGUGUUUAGACUGUUGACUUUUUUUUAGAAACAUUUAAUUUUAGAAUACUUUUAGGUUAAAAAAAAUUAUGAUACAGAGAAUUCUCAUUUUCCUUGUAUUUGGUUUCCUGUAGUAUUAAUAUCUUACAUCAGCAUGGCACAUUUGUCACAAUUGAUGAAUUCUAUUAAUAUAAUUAUUAUUAAAUACAGUCUGUAUUUUAUUAAGAAUUCUUUAGUUUUCCUUUAUUGUCUUUUUUUUUUUUUAAUUCUGGAUUCCAUCAAGGAUAACACAUUACAUUUAGUUGUUAUUUUCCUUAGGUUCCUCUUGGCUGUGACAAUUUCAGACCAUUGACUUUGAGAGUUAUGAAUGUCUUCUUCUACUUGUGAGAUGAGACCCAACAUUUUCUUUGGCUCUUUCUCUUUAUUUGGUCCUUAGAUUUCAGCUUUCAGUUUACCACACACACAGUCUCUGUCCAUUCUCCUCUCUUCUCCAUUUUCCCUUCUCUGUGUAUCAAGUUUUGGCCAUAUAGAAUGAAGAUUGCCCUUUAUUAUUUCACUGAGGUUUUGUUUGAUUUUUUUUACCUGCUCAUUUGAGAUCUUACCUCCUGUGGUUUUUAGAUUUUUUUUUUCUGAGCUCUGACUUGCAUUAGUGUUUUCCUGCAUGAAUGUUUUCUAAGCUAAGCUUAAGAAACCUCUACUGACAUAUAUAUUUUUCACAGUAGACAGCUCCUUCAUGUGUUCUCCUGAUUUAAUCAUUAGUUUGGAUCCAGAACAGACACAUAUUUGCUUUGUGAAUUUAAAUGAUUGAACUCUCUAAAUGGACAUUUUCUUAUAAUAACUACCUCUUGGGAUCUCUGUAAGGAGUAAAAAGAUUUUGCUUCAAACCAUAAUGGCACAGUGCUUGUAUGGGCUUCCUUUUGUCCUCCAUUCCUCCCUUCUGCUCUAUAAAGUUGACUAAUGGAACUAAAAAAUAAAAAGAAGUUUGGACUUAACACAUGCUUCUGACUAUUGGAUUUUGAUUUUCACGAUGAUGUAGUUUUUGUUAGAAAUUGACUAAUUUAAUUACUUUAUGGAAAACAGAAGACAUGAAAAUACCAACACUAUGGUUUUACAAGUAUAAAUGCCAAAUGAGAAUAGCCUAUUGUUUACUUGGAGAUCCUUCUAAAAUUACUGCCUUAAAAAGGUUUAGUGGGUUAGUCUGGAACAAAAACAGACUCAGAAGAAAUCAGACUACAAAAAAUUAGAUUUUAAUUAAAACAGAGAAAAUGAUUAUAUGUUAUUGCAACGAUAGAGCAAUAGAAAGAUUUAACCUGUUCUAAUGUAUUGUGAUAGAAAGAUUUAACCUGUUCUAAUGUAUUGUGAUCCGUCUAUACAGUAAUACAAGGUCUAUUUUAAAAGAAUUACAGCAAAUGGAACCAAUAACAUGAUUUUGGUUCUAUCAAAUCUCUCUGAGUCAAAGCUUCACUUCCAACUGAAACAGACUUGGACUUCAGGAAAUUAAUAAUUCAUCUCACCAUCACUUUCAUUUUUCAUCCUCUGCCUUCAUCCAGUUGCGUUAACUCUGCUCAAAACUUCUGCUGCCUAAUCUCCUAUCCUAUCUCUUCUCCCCUCUAAGAACUAGUGAAGAAAUCUUUAAAAAUUUUAAAACUUUGACACUAUUUGGCCUCUAAUUGAUUAAGAAAUGGUUUUCUGGCCCAACCGCUCUCCGAGGAGCAGUGUCUGUUGCUAUCCUUCAGUCACUUUACUUAAUACAUUUUUCCCUGUGCAAGUGGCUGACACCCAUGCUCUGAUUUGAUACAGCUUAUGGAUGAUCACCCUUUCAAGGAGAGCCGCUUAGUAAAAUAUGCACACUUACCAAAAUUAAAAAUGCAUGCCUUACAAUUACCUAGAUGAGGUGGGGAUAUACUGCUACGUAGUUAAAAUCUAUGGAGGGGAAAAGAAAGGGGGAUGAGUUUGUUAUUUUGCCCUCUUGGGGAUUUCUUCCACAUUUUGCCAUCAAUAUACCCUCAACAAAAUUCUGUCCAAAAACUAUAAUACAAGUCACAGUAUGAUUUCAUCUCUUGAAGUCCUUGCUCUCCUUUUCCUUUCUUGGAAGAGACAUUAACUUUCUAAAUAUAUCCACAAAACUUUUUGCUUUUCAAAUAUCCUAGCAUCCCUCUAAGAGGGUGAGAUGCUUCCCUUUUGCUGUUCAUUUGGAAUCUAAGUGAGGCCCCAGUAAUUCCUAUUUCCUUGGAAAUUGAGCUGAAUCCUAUCUUUAAUCAGAAAUAGAGAUAAAAAGAAAUUUAAAAAAAAAUAGUUUUUAGAUUUAUGUUCAUGGCAUUUAGAAGUUUAUUUUGACAUUUUUUCCUUUUAGUUUUGUCUAAACAUGGCUGACUCUGCUAACAGUUUUAAUUAUAAGUAAUUUCCACUAAUUGAAAACUUACUUAGGGUGUAUGUGCACCAUCUAAUUUAACUCUCACAAAAAUCUUAUAAAGUAGAUACUAUUAUAACCUUGAUAUUAAUGAAAAACUGGAGGAUCAAAUGGGUUAAAUAUGCUUCUCAGGCUCCCGCAACAGUGAGCUUGAAAAUUUGAAUUGAGAUUUCUCUGAGUCAUAGCUUCUUAUCUUCUACUUUUCUGUUUCUAUCAUCUCGUCUCUAUCUCUAUCUCUAUCUCUAUCAAGAUUAGACUUUAGAGUUCCUGGGCAUUAUCUACCCGGGGCAAAAAGACCUUCCCUGAUUUAAUCCAAUGGAGGGGAAUGAAUUCAAAUGCCAUCUUUAUCAGUGCCUUAUUGGCUCAAAGAGGAAGUGAGAAAAAAACAAAACAAAAAAAACAAUAUUUAAAAGAACAACAAACAUUGGUAACUUUAGGAAACAAAAAAAUUAGACAGCAUGAAUUAAAAGGAGCUGGUUGAGGUUCUGAGCAAGCAGCACGGACCUGCUAAUGUGGCAUUUAACACUUGUGUUGUAUGACAGGUGGCUCAAGUUCAAGAGACACGGGGUGUAGUCCACUAAGGAAAAAAAAAAGUUUAGAAAAGAAACUUAAUCUCAGUUUUAAAUGACUAUGUUGUUUUAUCUUGUUAGCUAUAUUUUGUUACAUAUUCCAUUAGAUUUGCUUGGUUUAUAUUUUUUUGAAAGUAAAUCUACGUCAUUUUUGGGACUUUUUUUAUCCUUAGGAAUUAAUGAUAAGUGUGUGGGGUAGAACAUUGCUUGUUUGUUUGGUUUAUUUUGUCUGCUGGGCUUUUGACUCUGAGGAGAUUCUAACUUCUGUGCUAGCAUGGUAAGUGCUAAGUCUGGACUGUUUUGAAUGUCAUCUUUCCA
ensembl:lncRNA